rnacentral:rRNA from 1 species
UCGAGAAUCUUCGGCAAUGGGCGAAAGCCUGACCGAGCGACGCCGCGUGUGGGAUGAAGGCCUUCGGGUUGUAAACCACUGUCGGAGGGGAUGAAGUGUUAGUGGGUUCUCCCAUUAACUUGACUGAUCCUCGGAGGAAGGGUGGGCUAAGUUCGUGCCAGCAGCCGCGGUAAGACGUACCACCCAAACGUUAUUCGGAAUCACUGGGCUUAAAGAGUCCGUAGGCGGCUCGAAAAGUUGGAUGUGAAAUACCUCGGCCUAACCGAGGAACUGCAUUCAAAACUACCGGGCUUGAGAGAGACAGAGGUAAGCGGAACUGAUGGUGGAGCGGUGAAAUGCGUUGAUAUCAUCAGGAACACCGGUGGCGAAAGCGGCUUACUGGGUCUCUUCUGACGCUGAGGGACGAAAGCUAGGGGAGCGAACG